rnacentral:rRNA from 1 species
UACGGAGGGAGCUAGCGUUGUUCGGAAUCACUGGGCGUAAAGCGCGCGUAGGCGGUUACUCAAGUCAGAGGUGAAAGCCCGGGGCUCAACCCCGGAACUGCCUUUGAAACUAGGUAACUAGAAUCUUGGAGAGGCGAGUGGAAUUCCGAGUGUAGAGGUGAAAUUCGUAGAUAUUCGGAAGAACACCAGUGGCGAAGGCGACUCGCUGGACAAGUAUUGACGCUGAGGUGCGAAAGCGUGGGGAGCAAACAGG